AUUGAACGCAGGCGGCAUGCCUUACACAUGCAAGUCGAACGGUAACAGGUCUUCGGAUGCUGACGAGUGGCGAACGGGUGAGUAAUACAUCGGAACGUGCCUAGUAGUGGGGGAUAACUACUCGAAAGAGUGGCUAAUACCGCAUGAGAUCUACGGAUGAAAGCAGGGGAUCGCAAGACCUUGUGCUACUAGAGCGGCCGAUGGCAGAUUAGGUAGUUGGUGGGAUAAAAGCUUACCAAGCCGACGAUCUGUAGCUGGUCUGAGAGGACGAUCAGCCAGACUGGGACUGAGAGACGGCCCAGACUCCUACGGGAGGCAGCAGUGGGGAAUUUUGGACAAGGGGCGCAAGCCUGAUCCGGCAAUGCCGCGUGCAGGAUGAAGGCCUUCGGGUUGUAAACUGCUUUUGUACGGAACGAAAAGCCUUGGGUUAAUACCCUGGGGUCAUGACGGUACCGUAAGAAUAAGCACCGGCUAACUACGUGCCAGCAGCCGCAGUAAAAC
rnacentral:rRNA from 1 species